UUACUUAUCUGACAAGCAGAGGAGAUACCAUGAUCACGAAGGUGUUUUUUUCUGGGGCGAGGCUUAUCCAUUGCACUCUGGAUGUGCUGACCCCUGUGAUUUCCCCAAAUGUGGGAAACUGAGCUGUAUAAUUUGUGGUAGUGGGUGACUGUAUUCGUGCUCUCCCUGU
ensembl:snRNA U1 U1 spliceosomal RNA